rnacentral:rRNA from 1 species
AUUGAACGCUGGCGGCAGGCCUAACACAUGCAAGUCGAACGGUAACAGGAAGCAGCUUGCUGCUUCGCUGACGAGUGGCGGACGGGUGAGUAAUGUCUGGGAAGCUGCCUGAUGGAGGGGGAUAACUACUGGAAACGGUAGCUAAUACCGCAUAAUGUCGCAAGACCAAAGAGGGGGACCUUCGGGCCUCUUGCCAUCGGAUGUGCCCAGAUGGGAUUAGCUUGUUGGUGGGGUAACGGCUCACCAAGGCGACGAUCCCUAGCUGGUCUGAGAGGAUGACCAGCCACACUGGAACUGAGACACGGUCCAGACUCCUACGGGAGGCAGCAGUGGGGAAUAUUGCACAAUGGGCGCAAGCCUGAUGCAGCCAUGCCGCGUGUAUGAAGAAGGCCUUCGGGUUGUAAAGUACUUUCAGCGGGGAGGAAGGGAGUAAAGUUAAUACCUUUGCUCAUUGACGUUACCCGCAGAAGAAGCACCGGCUAACUCCGUGCCAGCAGCCGCGGUAAUACGGAGGGUGCAAGCGUUAAUCGGAAUUACUGGGCGUAAAGCGCACGCAGGCGGUUUGUUAAGUCAGAUGUGAAAUCCCCGGGCUCAACCUGGGAACUGCAUCUGAUACUGGCAAGCUUGAGUCUCGUAGAGGGGGGUAGAAUUCCAGGUGUAGCGGUGAAAUGCGUAGAGAUCUGGAGGAAUACCGGUGGCGAAGGCGGCCCCCUGGACGAAGACUGACGCUCAGGUGCGAAAGCG